rnacentral:rRNA from 1 species
UACGGAAGGCAGCAGUGGGGAAUAUUGCACAAUGGGCGCAAGCCUGAUGCAGCCAUGCCGCGUGUAUGAAGAAGGCCUUCGGGUUGUAAAGUACUUUCAGUCGUGAGGAAGGUGUUAAGGUUAAUAACCUUAGCAAUUGACGUUAGCGACAGAAGAAGCACCGGCUAACUCCGUGCCAGCAGCCGCGGUAAUACGGAGGGUGCGAGCGUUAAUCGGAAUUACUGGGCGUAAAGGGCACGCAGGCGGUUAAUUAAGUUGGAUGUGAAAUCCCCGGGCUUAACCUGGGAAUGGCAUUCAAGACUGGUUAGCUAGAGUCUUGUAGAGGGGGUAGAAUUCCAUGUGUAGCGGUGAAAUGCGUAGAGAUGUGGAGGAAUACCGGUGGCGAAGGCGGCCCCUGGACAAAGGCUGACGCUCAUGUGCGAAAGCGUGGGGAGCAAACAGGGAUUUAGAUACC